rnacentral:tRNA from 1 species
AGCCUUUGUGGUGUAAAAACACGUUAACUUUUCGCGUUAAAGAUGGAUUAAAUCUCAAGGGUUU